rnacentral:rRNA from 1 species
UAGAUACCCUAUUAUUUAAAAUGUAAAUUAUAAACUGAGGUAGUAUUAGUUAUGUUCUUGAAACUUAAAAAAUUUGGCGGUAUUUUAGUCUAUUCAGAGGAACCUGUUCUAUAAUCGAUAAUCCACGAUGGACCUUACUUAAAUUUGUGAUCAGUUUAUAUACCGUCGUUAUUAGAAUAUUUUAUAAGAAUGUUAAUUUUCAUAAUUUUUUAUUAGAAUGUAUAUCAGAUCAAGGUGUAGCUUAUAUUUAAGUAGAAAUGGGUUACAAUAAAUUUAUUUAUAUGGAUAUAAAUUUGAAAAGUUUAUUGAAGGUGGAUUUGAAAGUAAAAUUAUAAAGAUAAAUAAUUUGAUUUUAGCUCUAAAAUAUGCACACAUUGCCCGUCACUCUUAUUAUUAAGGUAAGAUAAGUCGUAACAUAGUAGAUGUACUGGAAAGUGUAUCUAGAAUG